CAGAGUUCUUGCUGACUCCUAAGAUGCCUUUAUGCAAAUCAGAAAAGCCCAGGUUCUGUCCCACACCAUGAGACCUCAAGGACACUUUUGUAGAUACUUCACCCUACACCGUGGCAGCAGCUGGAUAUAGCUAGAGAUUAAACAGACAUACAAAGAAGAUGGCACUGCAUUGAGAUAGAAAGUGGGGUGAUGGAGCUGCAAACCAAAGAAUGCCUCAGACCCCAGAAAUUGGAAGAAGCAAGGAGUGGAUUUUCCCCUAGAGGCUCUGGCUGGAGUGCAGCUCGGCCAACACCUUGAUUUUUCUUCUGACCUCCAGAACUGAGAAGGGACAGAACCCUUUUGUGAGCCAUUGGCACUUGUCUCCUCCACAGUGAUAGUCACUGUCUAAUGAAGCCAGAGUCUUCACAUCAUUAC